rnacentral:rRNA from 1 species
GAAUCUUGCGCAAUGGGCGAAAGCCUGACGCAGCGACGCCGCGUGGGGGAUGAAGGCCUUCGGGUUGUAAACCCCUUUCAGCACCGACGAAUGAAGGACGGUAGGUGCAGAAGAAGCGCCGGCUAACUACGUGCCAGCAGCCGCGGUAAUACGUAGGGCGCGAGCGUUGUCCGGAAUUAUUGGGCGUAAAGAGCUCGUAGGCGGCUUGUCGCGUCUGUCGUGAAAGCCCACGGCUUAACCGUGGGUUUGCGGUGGAUACGGGCAGGCUAGAGGCAGGUAGGGGAGCAUGGAAUUCCCGGUGUAGCGGUGAAAUGCGCAGAUAUCGGGAGGAACACCGGUGGCGAAGGCGGUGCUCUGGGCCUGUUCUGACGCUGAGGAGCGAAAGCGUGGGGAGCGAAC